UUUGGGCAACCCAGAAUUUGAAACAGCGUCUGACAAGAACUUUGUAAGUGCAGAUCUGUCAGGUUUUAAGUGCUUUAAUCUUUUUGUUUGGUACAUGUUGUAGCUGGUAAUAUGAACUGUAGAUUCAUGUCUUAAAAUCCCAUAAAAAAUCAACAGAUCAAUCGUGGCAAGCGGUCAAAGUAGGCCACUUGUACUGUUUUUGUAUUUCCAGAAUUUCCAGAAA
rnacentral:lncRNA from 1 species